GAAUCUUUAGAAAAUAGAAUACCAGUAAUAAGGUCAAAAACAUUGUGAUUGCUAUAAAUUAGAAAGUUUAAUUUAAAUCUAAAUAAGUAUUAAUCCUAAUUUAGUUUAGUAAAUUUAGUUUUAAGAGAAAUUAAACUAAUUAAGCUAAGGGAACAAGUAAAACAAAGGAGAAUUCAAUAAGAAAGAGGUUACCAAGGUUUCAAAAUCCAUCAGUAUUCAACUAGUAAUUAUUCAACUAUCAAUUAAUUCUAAUUUUG
rnacentral:lncRNA from 1 species